rnacentral:rRNA from 1 species
ACGGAGGGGGCGAGCGUUAUUCGGAAUCAUUGGGCGUAAAGGGCGCGUAGGCGGUCUGUCAAGUCAGAGGUGAAAUCCCCCGGCCUAACCGAGGAACUGCCUUUGAAACUGUCAGACUUGAGGCCGGGAGAGGGUGGUGGAAUUCCGAGUGUAGCGGUGAAAUGCGUAGAUAUUCGGAGGAACACCAGUGGCGAAGGCGGCCACCUGGACCGGUACUGACGCUGAGGCGCGAAAGCGUGGGGAGCGAACAGG